CUUCAGCGCACCGAGCCACAACGGCUUCUCGCGGUUCUGCCCAUAGGUGGCGAACAGCGCCUGGGCCUC
rnacentral:antisense_RNA from 2 species